rnacentral:rRNA from 1 species
CACGUAGGCGGACCAUUAAGUCAGGGGUGAAAGCCUGGAGCUCAACUCCAGAACUGCCUUUGAUACUGAUGGUCUCGAGUUCGGAAGAGGUUGGUGGAACUGCGAGUGUAGAGGUGAAAUUCGUAGAUAUUCGCAAGAACACCAGUGGCGAAGGCGGCCAACUGGUCCGAUACUGACGCUGAGGUGCGAAAGCGUGGGAGCAAACA